AACGUAGGUACCGAGCGUUAUCCGGAUUUACUGGGCGUAAAGCGUGUUCAGGCGGCCUGGCAAGUCGGGCAUGAAAUCUCUCGGCUCAACCGAGAGAGGCUGUCCGAUACUGCUGGGCUUGAGGACGGUAGAGGGUGGUGGAAUUCCGCGUGUAGUGGUGAAAUGCGUAGAUAUGCGGAGGAACACCAGUGGCGAAGGCGGCCACCUGGACCGUCCCUGACGCUCAAACACGAAAGCUAGGGGAGCGAACGGG
rnacentral:rRNA from 1 species